GGUAGCUUAUUUAUUAGAGGUGUAUCCUGCCUUUCCACUUUUGCAAACUUAUUUGCUAUGUAGGUAUAUGUUAUCCUAAAUCCAAAUGUUAGGAUUUAACUGCUUUGCUUUCGCAUACUGAACUCUGAAAUAAAUUUAUAUGUAGAUUUCUGACAGUCACUGCUCUCCUGUCAUUUUCUGUCAUAUGUA